rnacentral:rRNA from 1 species
GACGAACGCUGGCGGCGUGCUUAACACAUGCAAGUCGAACGAAAAGGCCCUGCUUUUGUUGGGUGCUCGAGUGGCGAACGGGUGUGUAACACGUGAGUAACCUGCCCUUGACUUUGUGAUAACUUCAGGGAACUGGGGCUCAUACCGGAUAGGAGCUCCUGCUGCAUGGUGUGCGUUGGAAAGUUUCGGCGUUUUGGGAUAGACUCGCGGCUUAUCAGCUUGUUGGUGGAGUAGUGGCUUACCAAGGCUUCGACGGGUAGCCGGCCUGAGAGGGUGACCGGGCACAAGGGGACUGAGAUACGGACCAGUAUCGUACGGGAGGCAGCAGUGGAGAGUAUUGCGCAAUGGGCGGAAGCGAGAGGCAGCAACGCCGCGAGCGGGAUGAUGGCCUACGGGUUGUAAACCGCUGUCGACGGUGACGAACCGGGAGUGACGGUAAUGGGUAAAGAAGCACCGGCUAACUACGUG